rnacentral:rRNA from 1 species
ACGCACGCUGGCGGCAGGCCUAACACCUGCCAGUCGAGCGAGGACUUCGGUUCUAGCGGCGGACGGGUGAGUAACGCGUGGGAAUGUGCCCUUCUCUACGGAAUAGCCCUGGGAAACUGGGAGUAAUACCGUAUACGCCCUAUUGGGGAAAGAUUUAUCGGAGAAGGAUCAGCCCGCGUUGGAUUAGGUAGUUGGUGGGGUAAUGGCCUACCAAGCCGACGAUCCAUAGCUGGUUUGAGAGGAUGAUCAGCCACACUGGGACUGAGACACGGCCCAGACUCCUACGGGAGGCAGCAGUGGGGAAUCUUAGACAAUGGGGGCAACCCUGAUCUAGCCAUGCCGCGUGAGUGAUGAAGGCCUUAGGGUUGUAAAGCUCUUUCAGCUGGGAAGAUAAUGACGGUACCAGCAGAAGAAGCCCCGGCUAACUCCGUG